UUAUGUGAUCGUCUCUCGCAUAUCAAUAAGCGGAGGAAAAGAAACUAACAAGGAUUCCCCUAGUAACGGCGAGUGAAGCGGGAAGAGCUCAAAUUUGAAAUCUUAAAGGGUUUCCCUUUACGAAUUGUAGUUUAAAGAAGUGUUUUCUGUUGAGGUUUUGGUAAAAGUUCUUUGGAAUAGGACAUCAUAGAGGGUGAGAAUCCCGUAUUUGACCUUUACUUUCAACUUUGUGAUACACUUUCAAAGAGUCGGAUUGUUUGGGAAUGCAGUCCAAAAUGGGUGGUAAAUUUCAUCUAAAGCUAAAUAUUGGCGAGAGACCGAUAGCGAACAAGUACCGUGAGGGAAAGAUGAAAAGAACUUUGAAAAGAGAGUUAAACAGUACGUGAAAUUGUCAAAAGGGAAGCGUUUGACACCAGUGUUGUUUUUCUGAAAAUCAAUUAAAGAACUGUUUAUGCUAAGUUGUUUAGACUUUAUCAGCUAAUCUGCUUAGUUUUGAGCUUUUCUUUAAUGCACUUUUCAGUUAACAAGUCAACAUCAAUUUCUUUUGCUGUAAAAAAGCUUGAGGAAGGUGGCUUGAGAUUCGUCUUAAGUGUUUAUAGCCUCUUGCCUAUGCAGUCGGAGAGAUUGAGGUCUGCAGCGUAGAUCCUUCGGGGCUAAAUGCAUUUGUGCUAAGUUAUAGCAUUUUAUAGACAACUUGUUGACUAUGAUUUGUCUUGUAGCUUACUCGCUUAUGUUAUUUUACCUACGCUUAGGAUGUUGAUCUACAGAGCGAGAGU
rnacentral:rRNA from 1 species